rnacentral:rRNA from 1 species
AGUCACUGACAUUAGAUACCCCUGUAGUCCUAGCCGUAAACGAUACUCGCUAGGUGUCGGCCACGGUGCGACCGUUGUCGGUGCCGUAGGGAAGCCGUGAAGCGAGCCACCUGGGAAGUACGGCCGCAAGGCUGAAACUUAAAGGAAUUGGCGGGGGAGCACCGCAACGGGAGGAGCGUGCGGUUCAAUUGGAUUCAACGCCGGACAACUCACCAGGAGCGACGGUUACAUGAAGGCCAGGCUGAUGACCUUGCCUGAUUUUCCG